rnacentral:misc_RNA from 1 species
UUUCCGUAGGUGAACCUGCGGAAGGAUCAUUAAAGAACGCCCCGUUUUUUGAAAUGGGUAAUUCUAAACCGUGUAUACAUACCUUUGUUGCUUUGGCAGGCCGCCCCUCAGGGCGUCGGCUCCGGCUGACUGCGCCUGCCAGAGGACCCAAACUCUUUUGUUUAGUGAUGUCUGAGUACUGUAUAAUAGUUAAAGCUUUCAACAACGGAUCUCUUGGUUCUG